AUUGAACGCUGGCGGCAUGCCUUACACAUGCAAGUCGAACGGUAACAGGUUAAGCUGACGAGUGGCGAACGGGUGAGUACUAUAUCGGAACGUGUCCAGCCGUGGGGGAUAACGUAGCGAAAGCUACGCUAAUACCGCAUACGAUCUACGGAUGAAAGCGGGGCAUCGCAAGACCUAGCGCGAUUGGAGCGGACGGUAUCAGAUGAGGUUGUUGGUGAGGUAAAAGCUCACUAAGCAUGCGAUCUGUAGCUGGUCUGAGAGGCCGACCAGCCACACUGGACCGGAGACACAGUCCAGACUCCUACGGGAGACAGCAGUGGGGAGUUUUGGACAAUGGACGCAAGUCUGAUCCAGCAAUGCCGCGUGCAGGACGAAGGCCUUCGGGUUGUAAACUGCUUUUGUACGGAACUAAAGGGUAAGCUCUAAUACAGUUUGCUAAUGACGGUACCGUAAGAAUAAGCGCCGGCUAACUACGUGCCAGCAGCCGCCGUAACAC
rnacentral:rRNA from 1 species